rnacentral:rRNA from 1 species
AAUCAUACGCUUGUUUCAAAGAUUAAGCCAUGCAUGUCUAAGUACUAACUCAAAAGCAGAGUGAAACCGCAAAUGGCUCAUUAAAUCAGUCACGAUGAGCAGGACAUGCACAUGCCUCGGAUAACCUUGGCAAUUCUAGAGCUAAUACAUGCCAUGAGUCUCGGACCCCUCUCAGGGGGACGAGCGCACUUAUUAGACCAAAAACCAGUAUCCUGGCUAUGGUGACUCUAGAUAAAAUCGCAGAUUCGCGCGGGUCUCAGCACCAGCGACGAGUCUUGCGAGCGUCUGCCUUAUCAACUAGAUGGUAGGGUAACGGCCUACCAUGGUUGUGACGGGUGACGGGGAAUCAGGGUUCGAUUCCGGAGAGGCAGCCUGAGAGACGGCUACCACAUCCAAGGAAGGCAGCAGGCACGAAAAUUACCCAAUCCCCGAACGGGGAGGUAGUGACGUGGAAUAACAAUGCGGGACUCUUACGAGGCCCCGUAAUUGGAAUGAGUGGAGUUCAAAACUCUCACUCGAGAAACUAUUGGAGGGCAAGUCUGGUGCCAGCAGCCGCGGUAAUUCCAGCUCCAAUAGCGUAUACUAAAGCUGCUGCGGUUAAAAAGCUCGUAGUUGGAUGUCAGUUCGGUCCGGGAGGUCCCACCCCUCCGGGGUGGAGACCCUACCCGAGACUCCGGACUCGGUUAGUCCGGCGGCCCUCCGUGCCCUUGACCGGGUGAGGAGCGUUGCCUGCCGGAGACCGUACUUUGAAAAAAUCAAAGUGAUCAAAACGGGCCUUACAGGGCCUCGAAUGUCUGAGCAUGGAAUAUGGAAAGACGACCUCGAGUCUAUUUUGUUGGUUUCUGGAAACGAGGUAAUGAUUAAUAGGGACUGCCGGGGGCAUACGUAUUGCAGGGCGAGAGGUGAAAUUCAUGGACCCUUGCAAGACGACCAAGAGCGAAAGCAUUUGCCAAGAAUGUUUUCAUUAAUCAAGAACGAAAGUUAGAGGUUCGAAGGCGAUCAGAUACCGCCCUAGUUCUAACCAUAAACGAUGUUAACCAGCGAUCAGUGUGCGUUCCUCCAAUGACGCCGCUGGCAGCUCCCCGGGAAACCAGAGUCUCUGGAUUCCUGGGGUAGUAUGGUUGCAAAACUGAAACUUAAAGGAAUUGACGGAAGGGCACCACCAGGAGUGGAGCCUGCGGCUUAAUUUGACUCAACACGGGGCAGCUCACUCGGCCCGGACACUCGAAGGAUUGACAGAUUGAGAGCUCUUUCUUGAUCUAGCGGCUGGUGGUGCAUGGCCGUUCUUAGUUGGUGGAGUGAUUUGUCUGGUUAAUUCCGAUAACGAACGAGACUCUGGCCUACUAAAUAGAAAGUCGAUAAUCCAAGGGUCGACUGCCGUCUUCUUAGAGGGACAGGCGGAUUAUAGCCGCAAGAAGUAUAGAGCGAUAACAGGUCUGUGAUGCCCCUAGAUGUCCGAGGCUGCACGCGGGCUACACUGAAGGAGUCAGCGUGUCGAGAAUCCCGUGACCGCGAGGUCUGGGUAAUCCGCUGAACUUCCUUCGUGAAAGGGACUGGGGCUUGAAACUGUAGCCCACGAACGAGGAAUUCCUGGUAAGGGCGAGUCACCAACUCGCCCUGACUAUGUCCCUGCCCUUUGUACACACCGCCCGUCGCUACUACCGAUUGAAUGGUUCAGUGAGGCCUCCGGACGGGAGCCUGGCGAGACCUCCCUCGCUGGUCGUCGAGCCUGCUGCUCCCGGAAGCUGACCGAACUUGACCAUUUAGAGGAAGUAAAAGUCGUAACAAGGUAACC